AAAACUUAAAGCAUGUAAGCAUACACAAUAAUAAUUAUCAUUAGACCUAUAGUAACUUAGACUCGUACUAUUUAGUACUACUUUAAUAGUACCUUUAAACUAUUAGGCAUAAUGAAAUAAUGAUUAAUGAUUUCAGUGUUUUCCGCACUCGAGAGGAAAGAGGUUGCAGGGAACUUAGAGACUAAUCUUUGUCAACAUACUGGAUUUCUGGUGAUGACAAUAGCAGCAGAUAGUAUGCGGCUCAGUUAAUACUAAAAACAAUUGAUUUUACUAAUUAGUGGACUAUGAGUGUGUGUUUGGCCAUCCAGAUUUCAUAACUACAACUGAUGUUCAAUUACAAGGGAUAUUAAUCAGUCUCCGUGGACUAUACACUGUGCCUAGUUUCAUCCUCAGAGACUGAUGUGUAAGCUUAAAGUAAAGACAUCAAAUCAAAGUAUCAGCCAUCAAGAGGAAAAACAUUCAAAAUCAUAUUGUGAUACACAAGUCAAGCAAGUCUGACCAGCAUUUUGAUACAGGCCAAGAAAAAGCUGGAUACUUGAUUGGAAGGGUCGCACAAAAAACAUGGGUUAUCACUAGGGAAACAAGCUCGCAAUACAGUUCACUGUUAGGACAGCAAGCCAAAUACUUCUAAACUUAUUUGAAUCAUUUUUGCUGUUUUUUAUAAUUC